GAAUUCCGUGAAUCAUCGAAUCUUUGAACGCACCUUGCGCUCCAUGGUAUUCCGUGGAGCAUGCCUGUUUGAGUGCCGCGAAUUCUCCCACCCCAAACGGUUGCCGAAAGGUACUGUGCGGCGGAGGGGUUGGAUGGGUGCUACUGCCUGUGGUGGGGAAACUACAACAGGCUCGCCCGAAAUGCAUUAGCGCCUCAGGACACAUUCGCUACUGCUCUACAAAAGGAAGAGCAGCGAAGCGUAUGGGGGGGAAAACCACCACCGGUUAUUCCAAACCUCGCCUGACUGUUUUUGCGCGCAUGGCAUGAUACGUCAUUUGCUGUGUUGCGUAGRUUGGUGCGUGGGACUGUGUGAGUGCCUCUAGAGCUUUGAGAAGUGUGUUUCGUGUGCUACGAACUGAAAAAGUACAUUC
rnacentral:misc_RNA from 1 species